rnacentral:lncRNA from 1 species
UCUGGUCUUCUCCACAUCCAAGAAUCAAGAAACCUAGGGUUUCUUUGCUGCCACCCCAAAAAGGAAAGAAAGAAGGCGCUAGAAACUAGCGCCCCCCUUUGUGCAUGCCCCUAUUUUGAGUGCCCCCUCUUGGCCACCCAAGAUGAGUUUCAGGUCCCAUUUUUUUAUUUUUUGGAGGCUUCAUCAAGAGUACUUCUAGAUCUCAAAAGGUGGAUUUCAGAUUUAGUGAAGAAGGGGUUCAAAUUUCAGAAAAAAAUCCUGCCGACAGGAUUUACAAGGCUACUGAAAUUCUGAAUGCUGUUUUUGUUUUGCUUGGUUGCUGGCCUUCAAAGACCUCCACGAUCUGAUCCUUGCUGUUUCCUGACAUCCACAACCUGGGGAAGCUGGUCCAACACCACAUAGAUCCAAGCAAUGGUUUUAGGGCUGUGAUGAGAUCACGUCAGUGAGACCUAAAUCCUUGAUAGCCCUAAUCUAAAAUAUUCUUAGUCAUUAGUACAUUGAG